rnacentral:lncRNA from 1 species
GUUUCAGUCCCCAGCCGAGACCCUAGGCAUCAGGGAGCAGAACAUCAAAACUGCGGACUUGGGAUACAAAUGAAUGAUCACUGUUGUUGCAAAGCCCUUACGUUUUGAGGGUGGUCUUUUCGUGAAGCAAUAGAGAAACGGAACGGGGAGACGGACAGUGAGCAGACAAGCAAUAAUACGAAGCAGAAGGGGGAAAAACGUGGACCAAGGGAUAGAGAAGAGGGCAUGGAGAGAAAAGGCUGGGGUUGAGGGCUUAACAUAUUAGACAAGGGGGUCACGGAAAGCCUCCCUGCUUCUCUCUGUUUGCUCCAAACUCUUGCUUCUCUUUGCUUGCUCAGCAUCAGCGCAUAGCGCAUAGAACCCCCAAAGGCCACCCCACAAUGGCAGCCUCAGCCCCAGAAUUUACGUGUCCUGUUACAAGUCCUAGGGCCACAACAAACUCUCUGGACUCAUUUGAUUUUCUUCUAAUGUUUUAUACACACACACACACACACACACACACACACACACACACACACACACACAUAUAUAUAUGUAUUUUUUUUUUUUGAGACGGCGUCUCACUCUGUCAGCAGGCUGGAGAGCGGUGGCGCAAUCUCGGCUCACUGCAACCUCCGUCUCCCGGGUUCAAGUGAUUCUCCCGCCUCAGCCUCCCAAGUAGCUGGGACUACAGGUGCUCGCCACCACGCCUGGCUAAUUUUUGUGUUUUCAGUAGAGACGGGGGUUUCACCAUAUUGGCCAGGAUGGUCUCCAUCUCCUGACCUCGUGAUUUGCCCUCCUCGGCCUCCCAAAGUGCUGGGAUUACAGGUGUGAGCCACCGCACCCGGCCUCUCAUGUAAAAUAAUUAAAAAAAAAAAAAUUCUGGGCCGGGCGCGGUGGCUGACGCCUGUAAUCCCAGCACUUUGGGAGGCCAAGGCGGGCGGAUAACCUGAGGUCAGGAGCUCAAGACCAGCCUGGCCAACAUGGUGAAACCCCGUCUCUACUAAAAAAUACAAAAAUUAGCUGGGCAUGAUGGCGGGUUCCUGUAAUCCCAGCUACUCCGGAGGCUGAGGCGGGAGAAAAACUUGAACCCAGGAGGCGGAGGUUGUAAUGAGCCGAGAUCGCGACAUUGCACUCCAGCCUGGACGACAGAGUGAGACUCCGUCACAAAAAACAAAAAACAAAACAAGAACCAAAAAAAACACAUAAAAAACAAACAACAACAACAACAAACGAAACCUCUAAUCACAGGUCAGUUUUACUGUUUCUCAGGUCCAGACUCGUUCUGUGCUGUUGGCAGGGUAUCCUGCAGUGGCCACUCCUGUCUUACUAACAGACCCUGAUUUUGUCCACAGGAUCAACACACCCAGCUAAAACAGCUCAACUUCCUCAUCACACAACACAGUUCUGGCCAGUUAGACACACGUCCCCGGAAAGGGCAUCUCCAGGAGAAUAAAAAGGCCAAGCCACUUUUUGAAGAAAGUCUUUGUCCCUACCCCCUUUUUCUACCUGGAAGUCAGACUCAGGCCUGGAGUGUAGCGGCCGCCUUGGUACCUGGAAGCAACAAUCAUGGCCGGGAGACCUUACACCUGGCAUGGUAGAGCAGACGGAGGAGGGGCCGCCUGGUGAAUAGCCUGGCCAACAGCCCCAAACUGCUACCCCUUAAAUUCUGGAUUUCAGGUGACUGCUGUAACUUGAAGCAAGAAAAGUGAAACUACAGAAAAGGGAGGACCACUGGACGGCUGCUUUCAUUCUAC